UUACGGCCACACCAUGUUGAAACACCGGUGCCCGUACGAUCACUGAAGUUAAGCGACGACGAACCUGGUCAGUACAUAUAUGGGUGGCCGUUUGGGAAUUCCAGGUGCUGUAAG